UGGGGGAUAUUGCACAAUGGGCGAAAGCCUGAUGCAGCGACGCCGCGUGGGGGAUGAAGGCUUUCGGGUUGUAAACCUCUUUCGCUAUCGAACAAGGCCCGCUUAGGGUGGGUUGAGGGUAGGUGGAGAAGAAGCGCCGGCUAACUACGUGCCAGCAGCCGCGGUAAUACGUAGGGCGCGAGCGUUGUCCGGAAUUAUUGGGCGUAAAGGGCUUGUAGGCGGCUUGUUGCGCCUGCUGUGAAAACGCGGGGCUUAACUUCGCGCGUGCAGUGGGUACGGGCAGGCUUGAGUGUGGUAGGGGUGACUGGAAUUCCAGGUGUAGCGGUGGAAUGCGCAGAUAUCUGGAGGGACACCGAUGGCGAAGGCAGGUCACUGGGCCAUUACUGACGCUGAGGAGCGAAAGCAUGGGUAGCGAACAGG
rnacentral:rRNA from 1 species